UUGUUAGAGGGUAUUUUAGUAACUCUUCUAUUAAAAGCAAGAGUAAGUAAGUAAUUAUAUAAUCUUCAUAAUUUUAAUUUGACCCAAAAUAAAUAGCUAGGAGCUUAAUUGAAAUACUAAAAAAAAGAUAGAGGGUUAAAUAAGAAUUUGCAGGGGGUAAUAAUUAGUAACUAAAAAUAAAGGGACUAAGUGUUGUUAUGGUAAGAAAGAAGAAAGAAGAAAGAGAAAAGAACGAAGAAAAAGAAGAAAGAGAGGGAGUUAAGGCUGCCAUUAAUGGCUAGUGAGAGAGAAGUUGGCAUGGGUGGUGAGGAAGUUGACUGGAGGUGCAGCUGACACCGGUAAGGUCAGCAGUGGUGAUGACGGCAGCUAACAUUGAGAAGGAUAGCAGCAGCUUUCUUGCUGUCGUUCAGAGCGAUUCCGGCAACCGUUGCUGGCAAUUCUAGUCUCAAAAUGACUAGCAGCAAGCAAUCUUCCAUUUCCGCCCAUCGUCACUUCCUGAGAUUGUCGGAGAAGCAAGAUCCAGCGAAGGGAAGUUUGUUUAGGCAGCUUGAUUUUUUAAUUUUUUUGGCCAUCUCCGAUGAGGUUUAGCUGAUCAGAGCUCACCAACGGACUCCCCUCGUCACAAGCUUUCCAAUGACAAUAAUUUCGCGACGAUUGGACUUUGUUAGAAAAUCAACAGUUGGAAACUAUUAGUGAGAUUUCUGGAUGAUCGGGAGCUAAGAAAAUCAUAUUCUGGAAGCUUCAUCUGCGCAUCGUUUCGAGUUCGUAGACGUGUUCGGUUUGUCGAACGGAGUCCGGUGGUCGAAGCCGAGUUGAUUGAUUUAUCAAACGUCUAGGUCCUGGACCCAUUUUACGAGGGAAUCAGUCCGUUUUAUAGGGGAGAUGCUACCGAAUUUUCAGUAGAAUUAAUUAAUUAAAAUAGAAGAAAAUAAAUGAAAUUAUGCUAAAAUAAUAUUAGAAUUUAAGAAGUUAGAAUUAGAUUUUAGAGAUUAAAAAUAGAUGUUGGUUGAGGAUUAUUAGGAAUAUGAUUUAAUAGUAAUUCUAAAGUAUGUUUAUGCGUGAAUUAUAAGGUUGUGCGUUCGAAUAGUUGUCCCGAUGGAAUUAGUAGAAAACUUUAGUGAAGGUAUAAUUAGUCGAGUCCUGCAACUAGAUGAGUGGAUAAACUUAUAACAUCAUGUUUUUUAAUAAUAUAUUGUUCAUAUUUAUAUGCUCAUGAUUUGCUGAAAUAUUUCUACUGAAAAUCAAUUAUUUUAAAUGUAAUUUAGAACUUGAUAUUUUCUAUAGAACUUGGAAAUAGAGAAUGGUAUUUUUGGUUUUUCUAUAUUUGUGAUUAUGAUUUUAUAUAAUUGGAUAAAUGAGUAUACAUUCAUUUAUGUGACAUGAUAUCACACCUUAGAUGUCGGGUAUUUAAUAUAAUUAUACUAUUUUUGGGACAACGCUUCAUAUACACAUCGCCUUUGUGGCAUAUGCUAGGUGGUGCCCUUUGGGGGUUUAUUGCUUGUGCGCGUAAGACUAGUUAUUUGCACUUUGGGCUGCCAGGUGAGACGUCUUUGCAGCCAAAAUUAUCAGGGAUCAAUAAGUGUUAUGCAGGAUGUUAAGAGUCAGAUCAGAUUAGUAGUCGAGAAGUUAGAGCUUCGGGUUGCUAGACUCUACGGUCCAGAAAAGUGAAGAUAAAAGAUUAGAUAAUUAGGCCCAAUUUGAGCAAGGUCGUUACAUAUACUAUCAGUUAAGGUAGUAUCAUAUUGUAUAGUCAUAUGACCCUUAAUUGAGUAGUUAUUGGUGGAGCACAUGCUUUAGCAAGAUCUGAUCGCUCUAUAACAUUUAUGUCAUUAUGUAAUCCAGGUAGUCCAAAGAAUGAAUUCUAUAUCCAAAAAUCAUAAGAAGCUAGAGCUUCAAGGA